GAUGCCACUUGGUGCCCAUGCAUGGAAGGAGACAACAACUCUUCAAAUUCUGCAGUAGAAUAAUGAAGAGAGAGUGAAAAUGAGUGGAAUUAAGAGGGCCUUUAAAUAGGGGCAUUUAAGGUCAGCGCCCACACACUUACUAGAGGGGUAAUCAAAGGCUAUUUGGUAUUUUUUAGAUUUCUUUUCUCUCUUUAUAUUACCUCUCUAUCUCACCCACCCUACGAAGAACCAAACAUCAUUUUCUCUCCUUCCAGAUGCAUAUUUCGUGCAAGCACAAAGGGAAGAUUCAAGAAAACUUUGUUGGAAAUUAUUAGCACGCUUGCUUGAACAUUGUAAAAAUACUUUUUGGAGCUUCAAGUUGUGACAGGUCUAGAAGACAAUAAUGAGGAAGCGCAAGCGUAAGGAUCCGUCAAUAAUUAAGGAAGAAUUUAGGGAUGAGGAUCCCAGAAGGGCCCAUGGGAGCUUGACCAUGAUAGUAGGAAUAUUAGAAUGAGUCAAGGAACUCCAAAGGAUACUAAAUCAGAAGGAAAAAAUGGAAUGAAACAAUGUUAGAUGGUUCUUUUGAGAUAAUGGUUGAGGUUUAGACCCCUUUGCAUUGUGUUAGAAGAUUCUUGAACUAAUUUACUUUGGGAUUGUUAGUAUUUAGUUUGGUAUCAUAUUGAAAUUGUUCAAAUCUUUUGUUAGUUUGAA